rnacentral:lncRNA from 1 species
UUUCCUUUUUAUGUAUUGAUUUCGUAACUUUUAUCAAUGAAAUAUCUUAAGUACUAUUCAAUUGGUUGACAACUCUCCUAUAUAAGUCGACAUGCCUUGCAAGGACUUUAUUAAGAGGGGAUAGCGAAACAAAACCAGUGCAAGAUUAGGCAGAAAAAGAGGGUUUUCAAUUUCUUAUCAUCCGAAAAAUAAAACUGAUCGACGGAAAGUUUCUGGUGGGGACAAUGUCUUCUUCACAAAGGAUUUCAGUUGUUAUUAUCGCAAUUAUACUUAUAUGGAAGGUCACAGCAGAGAGCAAGUUAUGUCGACGGGUUAAAGGUCGCGGCUGCAUAGACACCAGAGGAAAAUUUAACGUCGAAGGUCGGUGUGCUAAACAUGGCGACAAUUUAGGAAAGGUUAUGAGAUGUCAACUGAUUGGUUCAAGAUGCCUAUGCAACGUAAAAGGCAAUAAACCCGGAAAUUUUGGAACCGAUUAUGACUGGUCAGAAUACUAAUAUAUUAAGCCGUCUACAAGUAUCAAAAUGGCUACCAUAUUACAUCCCUUAAAAAAUCAUUUGAAAACAUUCUGGUACUAGUAAGACUAAUAGUGACAAUAUUGAGGGAUAAUUGUACAUGAAUGCACUAAUAUUCUGUGUUUAUUAAACAAACUUUGAGAAUAUGCGAUUUAAUAUUUAAAUAAAAUGAACAAUUGAUGUUUGUUAAAUAGUAUAGAAAAAGUUUCGAACUUGCAGAAGUUAUAUAAGGCAAUAUAUCAGCAAAGGCUUUGAAACAUUCUACACGUAUUUGCUAUGAUUUACAUACAUGUUGCUCCCUUUAUGCAUGAAAAAAUGAACAAUUUUAGUUUUAUGUUGAAGUUUUUGAAAAGUAUCGCCAGGUACGUUAUUAUCAUUUUUAUUGCAGAUAUUGUAGUUAUUUCAAUGAUAUUCGACUGUUCCUAAAACAAUUAUCAUUUCUAUGUCUACUUUUGUAUUCAUUUCUAAAAAUGCCUUAUGAGAACAUGUGUUACAAGAAGGUA